rnacentral:rRNA from 1 species
CAGCAGCCGCGGUAAUACGAAGGGGGCUAGCGUUGUUCGGAUUUACUGGGCGUAAAGCGCACGUAGGCGGACUUUUAAGUCAGGGGUGAAAUCCCGGGGCUCAACCCCGGAACUGCCUUUGAUACUGGAAGUCUUGAGUAUGGUAGAGGUGAGUGGAAUUCCGAGUGUAGAGGUGAAAUUCGUAGAUAUUCGGAGGAACACCAGUGGCGAAGGCGGCUCACUGGACCAUUACUGACGCUGAGGUGCGAAAGCGUGGGGAGCAAACAGGAUUAGAUACCCGAGUAGUCCCUGUCUCUUAUAC